UUCCCUUUCAAUCUCUCCCUUUCUCUUUCCCUUCCCUCUCUCUCCCUCCCUCCCUCCCUCAAUUGUUCCAAAUGGAAAGGUCCUAGAGAGGCUUGAUACCCAAGGAGCCGCGCAAGCCCCACCUGUGUUUCAGAGGAUGGCCUUCUCCAGGCUUCUGCAAGAGGGCCUUUACUGAACGUCCAAGUGUGCUCCAUCCCACUACUGGCAAGCCUGAUGUCCAGGACCUCUCCUAGGCCCUCUCCGCACCCCACCCUGCUGCUCCCCAAGUUACUGCCAGUUUUUUUCUGGGACGUCCAGAGUGUCACUUUGGCUCUCUAUUUGGAACUCUUUGUUGCUGAAAGUCUAAGAACAUUUCUGCACAGUACUCUAUCCAUCUGCCCGCAUGUAAUAUACACCACUGUGCUACAGCUGUACAGGCGAAGUGCAAGAACUAGUGUGCAGAAAAUAUUAAACAGGAGCAACAGUUCAUCUGGACAUUAAAGCACUGGUUGAGGAUACCAUACAACAGCUAGGCUGAACUCAG